rnacentral:rRNA from 1 species
GACGAACGCUGGCGGCGUGCUUAACACAUGCAAGUCGAGCGGUAAGGCCCUUUCGGGGGUACACGAGCGGCGAACGGGUGAGUAACACGUGGGUGACCUGCCCUCAGCUCUGGGAUAAGCCCGGGAAACUGGGUCUAAUACCGGAUAUGACUUCAUGACGCAUGUUGUGGAGUGGAAAGCCUUGUGCGGCUGAGGAUGGGCCCGCGGCCUAUCAGCUUGUUGGUGGGGGAUGGCCUACCAAGGCGACGACGGGUAGCCGGCCUGAGAGGGCGACCGGCCACACUGGGACUGAGAUACGGCCCAGACUCCUACGGGAGGCAGCAGUGGGGAAUCUUGCGCAAUGGGCGAAAGCCUGACGCAGCGACGCCGCGUGA